rnacentral:rRNA from 1 species
AGCGAACGCUGGCGGCAGGCUUAACACAUGCAAGUCGAACGGGCACUUCGGUGCUAGUGGCAGACGGGUGAGUAACGCGUGGGAACGUGCCUUUCGGUUCGGAAUAAUCCAGGGAAACUUGGACUAAUACCGGAUACGCCCUUCGGGGGAAAGAUUUAUCGCCGAAAGAUCGGCCCGCGUCUGAUUAGCUAGUUGGUGAGGUAAAGGCUCACCAAGGCGACGAUCAGUAGCUGGUCUGAGAGGAUGAUCAGCCACAUUGGGACUGAGACACGGCCCAAACUCCUACGGGAGGCAGCAGUGGGGAAUAUUGGACAAUGGGCGCAAGCCUGAUCCAGCCAUGCCGCGUGAGUGAUGAAGGCCUUAGGGUUGUAAAGCUCUUUUGUCCGGGAAGAUAAUGACUGUACCGGAAGAAUAAGCCCCGGCUAACUUCGUGCCAGCCGCCGCGGUAACAC